rnacentral:tRNA from 1 species
GGGCCCGUAGUCUAGUGGUAAAACGCCCCGCUUGCACCGGGGGGUCGCGAGUUCGAUUCUCGCCGGGUCCA